rnacentral:rRNA from 1 species
UCCUGGCUCAGAUUGAACGCUGGCGGCAGGCCUAACACAUGCAAGUCGAGCGGAUGAAAGGAGCUUGCUCCUGGAUUCAGCGGCGGACGGGUGAGUAAUGCCUAGGAAUCUGCCUGGUAGUGGGGGACAACGUUUCGAAAGGAACGCUAAUACCGCAUACGUCCUACGGGAGAAAGCAGGGGACCUUCGGGCCUUGCGCUAUCAGAUGAGCCUAGGUCGGAUUAGCUAGUUGGUGAGGUAAUGGCUCACCAAGGCGACGAUCCGUAACUGGUCUGAGAGGAUGAUCAGUCACACUGGAACUGAGACACGGUCCAGACUCCUACGGGAGGCAGCAGUGGGGAAUAUUGGACAAUGGGCGAAAGCCUGAUCCAGCCAUGCCGCGUGUGUGAAGAAGGUCUUCGGAUUGUAAAGCACUUUAAGUUGGGAGGAAGGGUUGUAGAUUAAUACUCUGCAAUUUUGACGUUACCGACAGAAUAAGCACCGGCUAACUCUGUGCCAGCAGCCGCGGUAAUACAGAGGGUGCAAGCGUUAAUCGGAAUUACUGGGCGUAAAGCGCGCGUAGGUGGUUCGUUAAGUUGGAUGUGAAAUCCCCGGGCUCAACCUGGGAACUGCAUUCAAAACUGUCGAGCUAGAGUAUGGUAGAGGGUGGUGGAAUUUCCUGUGUAGCGGUGAAAUGCGUAGAU